rnacentral:rRNA from 1 species
GACGAACGCUGGCGGCGUGCUUAACACAUGCAAGUCGAACGGAAAGGCCCUGCUUUUGUGGGGUGCUCGAGUGGCGAACGGGUGAGUAACAUGUGAGUAACCUGCCCUUGACUUUGGGAUAACUUCAGGAAACUGGGGCUAAUACCGGAUAGGAGCUCCUGCUGCAUGGUGGGGGUUGGAAAGUUUCGGCGGUUGGGGAUGGACGCGCGGCUUAUCAGCUUGUUGGUGGGGUAGUGGCUUACCAAGGGUUUGACGGGUAGCCGGCCGGAGGGGGUGACCGGCCACAUUGGAACUGAGAUACGGCCCAGACUCCUACGGGAGGCAGCAGUGGGGAAUAUUGCACAAUGGGCGGAGGCCUGAUGCAGCAACGCCGCGUGCGGAAUGACGGCCUUCGGGUUGUAAACCGCUUUCGCCUGUGACGAAGCGUGAGUGACGGUAAUGGGUAAAGAAGCACCGGCUAACUACGUG